CUAAGUUAUUCUGGGUGGUUGCUAGGGUGUUGCUAAGCAGUUGUUAGGGUGUUCUGGGUGGUUGCUAGGGUGUUCUGGGUGGUCGCUAGGUGUUCUAAGUGGUUGCUAGGGUAUUGCUAGGCGGUUGCUAGGGUGUUCUGGGUGGUUACUAGGGUGCUGCUAGGGGUUUGCUUGGGUGCUCUGUGUGGUUGCUAGGGUUUUCUGAGUGGUUGCUAGGUGGUUGCUUGGUGAUUGCUAUAGUGUUCUGGGUGGUUGCUAGGGUGUUGUGGGUGGUUGCCAGGGUGUUGCUAGGGUUUUAUGGGUGGUUGCUUGACUGUUGCUAGGGUGUUGUGGGUGGUUACUUGUCUGUUGCUUGGGUGCUAUGUGUGGUUGCUAGGCUGUUAUGGGUGGUUGCUAGGGUAUUAUGGGUGGUUGCUGGGGUGUUAUAAUUGUUGCUAGGGUGUUGUGGGUGGUUACUUGUCUUGCUUGGGUGCUAUGGGUGGUUGUUAGGUUGUUAUGGGUGGUUGCUAGGGUAUUAUGGGUGGUUGCUGGGGUGUUAUAAUUGUUGCUAGGUUGUUGCUACGAUGUUAUGGGUAGUGGUUAGCUGUUUGUUAGGGUAGGGUGGUAUGCAGCAUUUCAAUACUUUCAGAGCCGGAAAGCGUUCCAAUACUUUUGGAGCCAGACAGCAUUCCAAUAUUUUUGGAGCUAGACAGCGUUCCAUUACUUUUGGAGCUAAACAACGUUCCAAUACUUUCAGAGGUAGACGGAGUUCCAAUAUUUUUAGAGCUAGACAGAGUUCCAAUAUUUUUAUAGCUAGACAGCGUUCCAAUAUUUUUUAGUUAGACAGCAUUCCAAUACUUUUUAGAGCUAGAAAGAGUUACAAUACUUUUUAGAGCUAGACAGUAUUCCAGUACUUUUAGAGCUAGACAACGUUCCAAUACUUUUAGAGCUAGACAGCAUUCCAAUAUGUUGAGCUAGACAGUGUUCCAAUACUUUCAAAGCUAGACAGAGUUCCAAUACUUUUGCAGCUAAACAGAGUUCCAGUCCUUCUGUAGAUAGAGUUCCAAUAUUUUUAGAGCUAGAAUUCCAAUAUUUUUAGAUCUAGACAGUGUUCCAGUACUUUUGGAGCUAGACAGCAUUCCAAUACUUUUAGAGCUAGACAGCAUUCCAAUAUUUUUAUAGAUAGACAGCGUGCCAAUACUUUUGGAGCUAGACAGUGUUCCAAUAUUUUUUAGAGUUAGACAGCGUUCCAAUACUUUUAGAGCUAGACAGCAUUCCAAUACUUUUUAGAGCUUGACUGCAUUCCAAUACUUUUCGAGCUAGACAGCAUUCCAAUACUUUUAGAGCUAGACAGCGUUCCAAUAUUUUUAUAGAUAGACAGCGUUCCAAUACUUUUUCGAUCUAGACAGCGUUCCAAUACUUUUAGAGCUAGACAGCAUUCCAGUACUUUUAGAACUAGGCAGAGUUCCAGCAGUUUUGGAGCUGGACAGCAUUCCAAUAGUUUGUGCUAGACAGAGUUCCAAUACUUUUGCAGCUAGACAGAGUUCCAAUAUUUUUAGAGCUAGACAGCAUUUCAACACUUGUAGAGCUAGACAGAGUUCCAAUACUUUUCAGCUAGACAUCAUUCCAAUAUUUUUAGAGCUAGACAGCGUUCCAAUAUUCUUAGAGCUAGAGAGCAUUCCAAUAUUUUUAGA
ensembl:lncRNA